rnacentral:rRNA from 1 species
AUGGGUGUUGGCUUCAACAAUUCGCAUUGGUCUCAAACCAAUGACAUGCAUUUCAAAAACCAUGAGUUCGAGGUGGACGAGGAUGGUGAGGGCAUUGUCGACGCACCGAAAGGAAGAGGAGGCAACUACACCAACGACGAAGAAGUCUUGCUAUGCAAAACUUGGUUGGACGUGUCGAGGGAUCCAUCCGUUGGAGGUGAUCAAAGUAGAGAUGCUUAUUGGCUCCGGAUAAAAGAACACUUUGAUCUACGCAACGUGAGUGGAAUUGACCACUCUGAUCGAUCUCUUCACUCCCGGUGGUCGAUAAUCAAUAAGGAUUGUCAACAAUGGGCGGCCGCACAAAAGGCGGUUGACAAGUUGAACCCAAGUGGCACUAAUGAUGAAGAUAGGGUAAGUGCCAUUUCAUCAUUCAUGUUCAUCAUGCUUGUUGUUGGUGUUUCUUGUGCUAACUUGUUUUGUUUUCAUGUAGUUAAAUAUUGCACAAAGCUUGUUCAAAGGAGAGGAGAAGAGGACCAAGAAGGGGGAGAUCAAGAAAGGAAGGUCAUUUACCUUGCCUCAUUGCUAUGA